UACGUAGGGUGCAAGCGUUGUCCGGAAUUAUUGGGCGUAAAGAGCUCGUAGGCGGUCUGUCGCGUCGGCUGUGAAAUCCCGAGGCUCAACCUCGGGUCUGCAGUCGAUACGGGCAAACUAGAGUAUUGCAGGGGAGACUGGAAUUCCUGGUGUAGCGGUGAAAUGCGCAGAUAUCAGGAGGAACACCGGUGGCGAAGGCGGGUCUCUGGGCAACAACUGACGCUGAGGAGCGAAAGCGUGGGGAGCGAACAGGAUUAGAACCUUCGUAGUCAGU
rnacentral:rRNA from 1 species